rnacentral:misc_RNA from 1 species
CAAAACCCGGCGCCCUUUGGCGUCCGACCUCAACUUCCUGUGUGAGCACAAGCUUGCUUUGGCGCCUUUGAGGCGCCAGCUUUAUGCAGAUUUGCCUUUGAAUCUGAAGCCAAAUCAAAUUUA